UUUCAUCUUCCAUUUGUCAGGAAUUUUUACAAAAAAUCUCAAAAGCAAAUGGAAAACAACAUAAGUUUAACUUGAACUCCGUCCAAAUUAAAAAUUUGAAAAGAAAAAUUUAACAAAUAAAAAAAUAGAAAGAUGUGCAUGUGCAAGUAAUGCAUUUUCCCUUUGAAGCUCUAAAAAAAAAUAUGAUAUGCUUACGCACUCAUAUUUUAAACUGUAUUGAGCUUUAACUCAAAGUUCAUUAGUUAUCUUAAAUAGCUACUACCUAUGACAAUUUUUUUUUAUUUUAUCAAUCAAAUAUGUCGUAGGUAUGUACGGGAAGGUAUCUACCUAUAUAAUCUUUAAAAUGGAAAAAAAUAAUUUUUGCUUUACAUUUAAUGCUUUAAAUAUGGACCUACACUACUUAUCACUUUAACAACUAAUUUACAUCCUAUAAAGUUGUUCGGAGGGUCGGCAAUCUCUUAGAUUAAUUCCUUUACCCGUUUGUACGAUCUACCAACAUAUCUGCAGUAGAAGAUUUUAUGGAGGGAAAAACAAAUCGAAACAGAGAAAGCAGAGAAGCGAUUGCAUUUUGUUACAACAAUUUCAGCACAUUUUCCUGUCUGUAUUUUAAUAAAUAAAAAUUCCUUGGUAAAUUACUUACCU